GUGGAGCCUCUCCAGUUGUGGAUGGAGGAUCUGACCGUCGUCCUGGGAUAGGAGGUCCAACCUCAUCAAGAGAGUUCGUGGAGGGUACACUGACAUGCACAGCAGCUCCUGACACUAUUUGAAAUCGCCAGACCAGAGUGCACACAGGUGGCAUGACGGCUUCAUCUGGAGACAAGGACGAGUUGUAUUCCGGGGAUAGCAUCUCAGGGGAAGAAGCUACAGCAUUGCCCUGAUCUCCGUCUUCAGCCGAGGACAGUUGAGAAGGAACUGAGGGAGUCGGGC